GACGAACGCUGGCGGCGUGCUUAACACAUGCAAGUCGAACGGAAAGGCCCUGCUUUUGUGGGGUGCUCGAGUGGCGAACGGGUGAGUAACACGUGAGUAACCUGCCCUUGACUUUGGGAUAACUUCAGGAAACUGGGGCUAAUACCGGAUAGGAGCUCCUGCUGCAUGGUGGGGGUUGGAAAGUUUCGGCGGUUGGGGAUGGACUCGCGGCUUAUCGGCUUGUUGGUGGGGUAGUGGCUUACCAAGGCUUUGACGGGUAGCCGGCCUGGGAGGGUGGCCGGCCACAUUGGGACUGAGAUACGGCCCAGACUCCUACGGGAGGCAGCAGGGGGGAAUAUUGCACAAUGGGCGGGAGCCUGAUGCGGCAACGCCGCGUGCGGGAUGACGGCCUUCGGGUUGUAAACCGCUUUCGCCUGUGACGAAGCGUGAGUGACGGUAAUGGGUAAAGAAGCACCGGCUAACUACGUG
rnacentral:rRNA from 1 species